UAGGGAAUCUUCGGCAAUGGACGGAAGUCUGACCGAGCAACGCCGCGUGAGUGAAGAAGGUUUUCGGAUCGUAAAGCUCUGUUGUUAGAGAAGAACGUUGGUAGGAGUGGAAAAUCUACCAAGUGACGGUAACUAACCAGAAAGGGACGGCUAACUACGUGCCAGCAGCCGCGGUAAUAAGUAGGUCCCGAGCGUUGUCCGGAUUUAUUGGGCGUCAAGCGAGCGCAGGCUGUUCUUUAAGUCUGAAGUUAAAGGCAGUGGCUUAACCAUUGUACGCUUUGGAAACUGGAGGACUUGAGUGCAGAAGGGGAGAGUGGAAUUCCAUGUGUAGCGGUGAAAUGCGUAGAUAUAUGGAGGAACACCGGUGGCGAAAGCGGCUCUCUGGUCUGUAACUGACGCUGAGGCUCGAAAGCGUGGGGAGCAAACAGG
rnacentral:rRNA from 1 species